rnacentral:rRNA from 1 species
UACAGAGGGUGCAAGCGUUAAUCGGAAUUACUGGGCGUAAAGCGUGCGUAGACGGUUAUGUAAGUCAGGUGUGAAAGCCCCGGGCUCAACCUGGGAAUUGCAUUUGUGACUGCAUCGCUGGAGUGCGGCAGAGGGGGAUGGAAUUCCGCGUGUAGCAGUGAAAUGCGUAGAUAUGCGGAGGAACACCGAUGGCGAAGGCAAUCCCCUGGGCCUGCACUGACGCUCAUGCACGAAAGCGUGGGGAGCAAACAGG